ensembl:snRNA U6 U6 spliceosomal RNA
GUGCUAACUUCAGUAGCACAUAUACUAAAACUGGAACAAUACAGAGAAGAUUAGCAUGACCCCUGCGCAAGGAUGAUGUGCAAAUUUGUGAAGCAUUCCAUGUUUUU